GUAGUGCUCAAUCUGACCAAAUUCUCAACUUGUUGACCUUAACAGGCCUGAAGCUUUGGAGAACUUAUUUGGGUGAGGGUUAUGUCUUAUUUCCGUUGCACUGCCAAGCUUUUAUGUUCAUUAAAGUUGCUGAACUGUGCUGUCCCUUGACAGCAGGAAGCAUAGGGUUUUUCCCUGCCAAGCAGGACAGGAUCCAGUGAGGCUGCACUCCCUGCUGUGGAUGCAUUUCACAACUGUAAAAAACAUCCAGAUUGUUUCCAGAAGCUAUUUGUGCUGAAAGAUUGUCUAGCCAUGGAUAUAUGUUGAGGAAAAAGUCUUAUCACACUGAGGUACUUUCAUCAACAGUAGCUCACAGAAUGGGACUGCACUGUUGCCAGAUCCAUAAUGCUGAAGGUCUCCUUUCAGAUGACUUUCAGGCAUUGAUUCCCUGACGGUUUUUGCUCUCAGAAAUGAGAAAGCACACAUAAGGAAAGAAACAGAUGAAUGAUUACAACUGAUCUUCAAAGGAAGUGGCACAGUAUUAACAUAUGAAUGGAAAUCUAAUGCAUAUUUUAGAUCAUCGAAAAGAACAAGCAAAUGUGAAGUACUUGAAUGAUAUUGGGCUCCAAAAAUCAUGCAUGCAUCUCAAGAAUCUGGAAAUGGACAGCAAAUAAGAGUCAGGCUGAAAUGUUUAUCCCUGAACAUCUGGGAGAAAGAAGCUGAUGGAAAGAUUUAAAUAGCACCUGAGGGUUUAUCUUGACUACCGGCAGAAAUGUUGGCCUUGUGAAGACUAACCCUGUAGAAACUGAAGAUACAAAACAAAAAAGGUUCGGAGUGCAGAAGUUACCACUCUGCUUGGCUUCAUUGAUGUUGGUGGCUUUAUGUGCAAUAAGGCUGGAGAAUGCUGGAGGUGAAGAGUGAAGCUCUCCAGAGGGAACAGACAGGACCUUCUUAUGAAGGAUUUCAGAUGGCAUGAGAAAUGAAAUGUAAAUGUGGCUCUACCAGCUAAAAGACAAGAGCAUUUACCACUGUGCCAGUGGGAACAGACCUAUGGGAACUUCCCUGUAGGAAUUAAAAAAGACAGCUCGUAGAAGAGUAAAUGAGAGAGACAAGAUAAACAAGGUUUGAGAGAUAAGAUAAGAAUGCUGUUAACUGCAGUCACUAAGAAAGAAGAUGCCCUACUUUUUGCUGACAGUUGUGCACAACCAGCUCUUACUUUCCCUACAUUUCUCUGAGCUGGUCUCACGAGUUGAAGAGAGGCAGGAUUUGAGCAGAUUGAGAUGUUUCAUGGCAUAUUUUAGAACAACAGCUGAUUUACUUUAAAGAAUAUCAUAGAAAAUAGGCCCUGAGCUGGCUGGCUACUCUUUUCAAUCUUCAUCCUCAUCCCUGCCUUUGAUUCUGCUCUGCUGUGAACAUCCUUUGUGACAUGAAAUACUUAAAGAGAGACUGGAGAUCUGGGCAACAGAUUUCAGUAAACAUGAGAUUAUGUGCAACAUGUUUAUUUUGAUGAACAUGAAGAUUUAUUGUUGCUCUCAGAGAAUACUGACCUUGACAUCUCCUCGAUUAAUAUUUAACUCUUGGGUCAAUAAAUCCGGGUAUACACUUAUUCAGAAGUCAAU
ensembl:lncRNA